AAGGAGAAUGCUGCAUUUUCUGAGCUGAAAGAGCUGUUUUCCUUGGUUAUACAUGUACUGGAGCUCAGUGACUGACACAAGAGGGGUGACUGACAGCUGGAAGCAGAAUGAGGUGUACUGAAGCUUGUCCUGACUUGAAACUAGCAGGUGUUGAAGAGUGAAGAAUCAGCCAAAAUUAUGGCUUCUGCAUAUGCAAGAGUCUCAAUUUUGACAUGAAAACCAGAUUCUUUACUCAACAUGGGACUGGGAACAGGAUUAAGAAGUGAACAGCAAUACUCAAAGCCAGGAUGCUGCCAAGGAGCCUCUUCAAAUGGGAAGUGCAUGCCACACAGGAGCUUUGAGAAGGAAACCCAGUGAAUCCUUGAGGACCUGUCUGUGCAUUUGGGGCAAUCCAGCUGCUGUGACAGCGAUUUUCGGCCGGCGUGGAGGGCGAGGGGCUGGCGGUCCCUGAGGGGCGCAGCUCUGCGCGGCGCCGGGCCCUCCAGAGCCCCGGCCCACAGCGGGCUGGCACCUGCCGGGGUGGGCACAGACCUGUGUUACUGCACAAGGCUUGGACAACCUGCACAGACAUUUCAGGUUUUGUUUCUUGGUGGAAUUGAGCAGCAUAGAUCCCUGAGUGGUCGCAGUUUUGUUUUUCUACAAUCUUGACCUGUGUCUCCAACUGGAAACAAUAUUGUCUGCCUUUGAUGAGGAGUGUCUGAAUUUUACGAAGCCUUUUUUGUUCAUGAAGAAUUUUUCUGGUGAGUAAUAUGUUGGUAAGGAUAUAAGCAUGGACAGAGUUCUAUCUUAAACCAGUUGCUUGAACUCUAAUAUUAGUUUUGGAGCUUUUAUAUUUACUUUUCACCCAAGAUAAAUAUCUUGGGAAAUACUUACUUGAAAUCAGGAUUACAUUAUGUUCUCUUUUUUUUAAUCAUCUUAUGGCAGUUCUUUGAGGUCUUCAGCACAGUAACAAAAUAAAGGUUAACAUUCUGAUGCCUUAAAAUUUGAGAUCUUGAGUAGCAAAAAAUGUGAGUUUCCUUUUCUAUUUGUUUGCACUGUCCUUUAUUUCAGGUAGGAUUAUGACAUUACAGGUCAGAUUCUGCAUACAUGGAGCAUCCAUUGAAACUCAAAGGGUUUUCAAUAAGGUGGUAUGCUUGUUGUAAAACAAGAGAAAUGUAAGAUAGAUAUUAAAGACAGGAAAUUAUUCUGCCAUUUGGCUGAGUAUUUCUGAGAUGUCAGCUGCUUGUGGAUUGGGGCUGUUGUGAAAGAAUAAUGGUAUUAAAAACUCAGUGUUUAAAAAAGUAAUUUUCUUUCUAUUUCCUGUAGUCAGAAUUCAAGUUUGGACUUGCCAGCUUCUCUUCUUAGGAGUCCCUACUCUUGUGAAAUGCUCCCUUGAAAGAUACACAUAUCUUCUCACAGGCACCUGUCACACACACACACAACUUUGCACAGCUGUUCUCCACACUUCAUUUUAUUGAUUUUCAUAGGCCUUUUCAGACUGUCCUCAACUCAUCUCUGUGAAAAGCUGAGUCCUAUAGUUUGUUCACAGUACAUAGCUACUAUGUUUAUCAUGUGUAUAAAUAUCCUCCUAAUUAAUUGUCCAAAAGUGUUGUGUCUCUGCCCAGUUUCACAGGACAUCACAGAGAGCAGUUGGUUUGGCUCUGAGGUUUUUCAUUGCAGCACCAUGAAACUCUUUUGGGGAAGAGACUGUAUUUUGCACAAUGGGGCAUGUGCCAGGCUGGAAAUUCUGGGUUGUACUGGGACAUCCAUAUGAAACAUCACCAAAUCAAAACUGAUAUGAAGAUUUUUUCCAAGAACUCACUUCGGGACUCUAAGGAAACUUUUAUCUGCAUUGUAAGUUCCACACAAAGCAAAAUUUGUAUUUAAACUGAGUCUGCUUGGCUGAAAGAUAAAAAUGAAAGGAAUUUCAGAGCCUUCUUGAAUUUUCCACAGAGUAGCCUCUCUCAUGAGUGACAAGUUUGGUGUGAUUGAGAGCUGCCCAGCAGCACAGCCACGCUCUCUUCCUGUGACACAGAGCACACGAAUUAAUUGUUCAGUGCCCAGUGGCGAACAGAAAAGCAGGUUUUUAGAAGCCAUGAGGAAAAGGAGAGAGAGAACCUCUACUGUGCCUGCCUCGUGUAUUUAUGAUGUGAAUGAAUGGAAGUACUGAAAAGGUGAAUAUACUUAGUCCACCUGAGAACCAGAGGCAGAAUUUACUCCAUGUUUCACACUCUGGUCCAGGCACCACCUGCUCCAGCAGUCUGAUCUCAGGCUCACCAGAGUCAGGGGCUUGUCAUCCCUUAGCAUUUCAGAGAAUUUUUAUGAUCACCAGAAGGACCACGGAGUGAGAGGGAUCAUGGAAGAGCAGCUAUAAACUGAAUUGUGGGACAGACUUUCUGCCUCCAGACCCGCAGCUGACUUCUGAACUGACUCUCUGGAAAGGCUGGAGACACUCAAAGAGCUGGUCUGAAACCGCGUGCUGAGGUUCAGCACAAUCCAUCUCCUAGAGCAGCCUUGGUGCACCUGGCCACUGAAUGACCUCGACCCUGAAGCACAGAUGUGCUUAGGUAUACAGGGGCCUUCAAAACUGAAGAAAGCUGUGAACUCACAAAGGUCUCUGGUCUCUGCAGGCUUUUACAUACAUCAAGAGAAAGAGGAGAAAUAUUUUACAGCAAACCAGAAGUGUCCUAAAUUAAGCUAUCCCCAGGCCACCCACCCUCACUGAGGUCUCAGAUGCAGCCUUGAAAAUGGAUGCAUGUGCCAAAAAGCAUCAAGGAAGAACAGGAUCCUUACUACUGAAUAAAGCAUUAAAUGAGCACUCCAUGUCCAAUUCUGGCAUUGACUCAUUUUAGCACAGAUGGCAACAAGAUUGCUGCAAUGUGAGGUCUUUGCAGUCUGUGUACAUACUGGCAUGAGGCAGAAUUCAGAGCACAGGAACAUGAAGGCAGAUGCAUUUGAAUCACAAAUAUAGUUACAUAGAAGUUCAUCAUUAAGUUUCAACUUCAUUGUCCCACCCUCAGGAAACUUACCAAACAUGCUGUUAUGUUGAAGCACAUAGAAUUCCAGGUGAUGAAUACUCUCUUCAUGACACUUACACAGGAGAACUGUUCUCACUUAAUUACACUGCUCAUUUGCAGAAAUUGCUGACCUACUCUGGCAUGAUAAAAAGUUCUUUUUGGUAGAAUACCUUCAAAUAUAUAUGAAAAAUUAUUAUUGGGCAUUUAUGCCAAUUCUGACAUAUUUUGUUAUAACAAUAACCUGAUAUUAUUGCAAAAAACCUAAGAUUAUAAUAGGUUACAUGGGCUGACCAAAAAACCUUCACCACUGCUUGGAUUUUAUGUAGUGCUUAACUUCUAAAACCAAACAGCAAAUGGUUGUGUCGUGUAACAGGCCAAAUGUGUGGUAUAAAUUGACUUUGCCUCAAUUCUUUCCAUGAUGAAUGAACAUUCUGUUCUCAGAAAUAAUUGCUUGGAUGAAAAGGUCGCACACAUCAACCGUGGAGUGCAAAUGGUUACUCCCCAAAUCCUUGUUAAGCUAAUUUCAUAGGAAGCAGGAAUUUGUGUUGGUGUUUCUGAAUGCUGUAUAAAGCCCAGUGUUCAGAAGAAACCAUUCAUAGUCCCAAAGGUUGGCACUGUUUAAAUUCAGUUAGCACUUGCAGACAAAAUUCCACAACCGCCCAACACGGCACAAUCAGUUGAUAUAUGGUUAGAUAUUAAUUAGCAAGGGGCAGAUAAAAAUGUUGAAUUUCAAGUGCUUCUGGAAGCACCAAAAUUUCCAACAAGCACUGAGAACAAUAAGCUAUGUUUUAUCAAAGGUCAUGCAUGUGAUGCCAUACAGGGGUCAUGUAAUUAUUGAGACAGCUAUAUGCAUUCCUUUUAAACAAAUUGUAAUUUGUUUCUGAAAAACAAAUGUGGAGGAAAAAAAAAAAAAAAACAAGAUCCAGAGAAGUUGUGUCUGGAUAAAUUUAUAACUUAAUCAAAAUUAUUAAUUAGAUUAAUUCAACCUGUGGAAUUUGGUGCCAUUCGAGAGCAAGUAUAUGCAGACAUAUUUUAUGGAAAACUUUGGAAUGUCAACAUACUUAAGAACAAUGAAAAAUUUUUAUUUGUAAUAAUUCUUUGUUCUUCUUAUUAGCACCUAAUAAACAUCCGCAAUCUACUUCUUACUACCUUCAUGAAAUAGCUGUGCCCAGUAGGGGUAGUGGUGCACAGAUACAGUAAAUGAAGGAAGAGAGGGCGCAUGAUACACACAUGAGGAAAUGCAGAGCAGAACACCAUCACCUGUGCUAGACAGGGAAAUGGAAAGAGGUUUGUCUUCCUUUGAAACAGUGACUGGAGAUACAAAGCUCAAGCAGAGGGAAUUUUUGGCUUGGCUGGUCUUUGUUUUUUACCUCAACUAUGAUCACAGAGUUCCGGUGUUGCCAUAAAAAUAAAAGACAAAGCUAACUACAGCUCUUUACCUGAGCUACAGCAAUUUACCAUCUAUGUAAGAAAUUAGCCCUGCCCCCCUAUUUAUGAUUAUUAUCUUUUAGACAUUCUAUUUCACAGCAGGGAUAAACAUGAAUUUGUAAUGCCAUGCAGCUGUCUGGGUGAUUACCAUGGCUGACUGCUUUCUUCAAGGGCUUGCCAGGCCAGAGCUAACUGCAUUAAGACUCUUAAGAUUUGCAGUUUCAUACUCAGCCCUUCCCUUUUAUCCUGAUUGGCUUCCCCUUCCAAGGCAACGAAGCAGGAGGCAUUCUUUAGCUGCCUUUCAAGCUGCCCAUUCUGUCCAAGAGUUGGAAUCCUGAUGGUUUCAACUAUGCCUGCAUGAGACUCCUGAAAUGUAUUCAACAAAUAUCACAGUAGCCUCACUAAAUUAUUAAUGUAAGUUAGUUUGAUUCAAGAACUAAAAAUGUUUUAUUGGUCAUAAACAUUUCUUACAAUAUGGUGACUUGUGGCAGAAUUACUGAUUUGAUCCAAAGCUGAUGUUCCAAUACCAAAGUCUUAAAAGUAAAUUUCAGCUGCCAUUUUGGCAGCAAAUUCACAAAACACAGAAAAUAAAUUGGGAGCUUAUCACAGAAAUUAUACCAACAAGGUUAAAUGCUGCUUUUGUUGUAAUUGUGAAUUAUUGACCACAAAGAGAUCUAGGUCCUCUGCUUAAUAAGCUCUGGAGAGAAUUAUCACCCUGAUUGGCUUGGGUGAACAAAGAGCACAGCUCAAUUUGCUGGGCCACCUUUAGGCAAAUUUUUAGUUUCUCUGUAAGACUGUGAGUAGAACCUGAGAAAGCAGAAAGGGGAAUGAAGACAGAAAGGAAAAAGGGUGCAUGGUGAAACAAUAGCUGGAGUGUUAUUCUGGAUCACCAUGUCAUGCCAUGGAGCAAUUCAUAAUCAGACCUGAAUAUGUCCCUGACCACUAUAGAUUACACUGAAAGAACUAAUUACUCCAGGUAGCUUCAAAAGAAACCAGUUAAUUCUCUAACAUGAGGAAAGUUUUUUCUUCUGCAUAUGCUGGACCAGAUGUGAUUUCCAUGUUAGCAUAAAAGUUCCCAGAAUGUGUAUGUGUAUAUAGCAGAAAUUCAUUUAUAUUUCUCUAUAUGUGUUUAUUUUCAUGGCACAGUUACAUUAACUGGUUAUUUUUGAGACUAUAAUACAUCUUGGGUGUUCUGGCUAAACUGAUGCUGCCAAAAUUGUCAGCAAAAAGGCCGGAAAAGCUGAUGAACCUUAAACUUUUCCCCAAACAACUGCUCAGUUGUUUCUUCAGGAUAUGGAAGAGGCAGAAAGUCCAAGCAAGAGGAGCAGUAGGAAAGCAGGGAGGAAGGAUAGAAAUUUCUGUCUGACAUGGAUUUCACAAACCUCUGUGUUUGAUCUUUUAGACACCCUAAAACAAUUAUCCACAAUUAUUAGCAUUUCAGGAGUUUGAAUAUAAAGGAAAGGUAGUUCAAACUUCAGCUCAGUGCUCUGCUUAUUCACUAGUUUCUUGCUUUCAUUUUGCUUAAGAAUUUAAUAUCUUUAUAAAUUGUAUCAGUAAUGUUUACAGGAACAUCUAAACACAAUUUUUGAAAAUUAUCUUCUUAGACCAAGAUCUCCAAGGGUAUGUGCAACAUAAUUCCUGGCAAUUUUAAUGUGAACAAACUGAAGAAGCAACUCUCCAGUCUCUCAGGACUGGUGUCUCUGUUGUAAAUGGGACUUGUGCUAAGAGUUGGUUAGGUAUUUUUAACUUGUAUGCCAUAUAAUUAAAAAACUAAAUAUAUGCAUAAAAAUAAAUACUACCAUGGAUAAUUCUUAUUCCCCUCUGUGGGUUUGUCAGACCCACAGGGACAGCACUGUGGUUUGUGGGAUAUUCUCCUAGCAACUCCUACUAACAUCAGAAUUACUUGGGCAGCUGAAUCCCAAUACCUCACACUAAGAGUUUGCGACUUGGCACUACUUUAUGAGCAGAUUCCUUAUGCCUAUAUCUCUGGUUAUUUGCACCAGGUUUUCUUCAGUUUCUUGUCAUCUUACAAAUGCCUUUAAUAACAGCUUUAUGCUGUUACUUACUGAGCUUCUCUGCUGUAGUUCUUUGUAUUUGGAAAAAAAUGAUGAAGAUGAAGAUAUGGUCCCUGCCCCAAGGAGGCUAUAAUUAAAACAAGACCAGCAUUAUAGAAACAUAUAUUCUAGCUGGCCUCUAACUGGAUGGUCUGUUUAGUUUUGUUUUGACAUAUUGUAUGAAGCAGCAUUUAACAGAUGUUGGGAAAUUAGAUCUCUGAGUUCUUGUAUAAACUUAGAGCAGAGAUUCAUGUGUAUGAAUUAAUUUCAUCACUGAAUGUGGGCAUUAAUGUCACCAGGCAUUUUUAAAUGUUUGUGCCUAUUCUGCUGUACUUUGAGUCCUCCUUGCCAGGAAACAUAGAAACUUCUCAGGAGAAAGUGCCUCAGUUGUAGCAAUACUUUCUAGCACCAUACUGACAAUUUUCUUCUGUAGAGUGAAUGUCUCCUUGUGCAAGCCCAGCAGUGGGGAAAAAAGGGAAGAAAAGUGUCAAUUGUUUCAUUUCAUACCCUCUGCACAGAGUGUUGACCAAAAAAAUCCCCCAAAACCCCAAAGUGGAAGGGUCUCCCUGUGUCUUUAUGCCAAGUUAUCCCUCUUCUUGUCAGUAAUGCUAAUUUAUCAUGCAAAUCCUGCAGUUUAUAUCCUUAUGGCUGCUCAUAUCCGUGCUGACACAGCUGUACACACCCAGCAAGGUGACAGAUUUUCCCACUCCUCCUCUUUGCCAGGAGAAUCGAGUGUUGAGGAUUAGACUCCCUUUUGCAGCUUCCAGGGCAAAGUCAAACCAGCAUGAAGGGGGGAGCUGACAGAGCAAGUCUUGCCCCUCUGUGCUGUGUUCAGACAAGGAAACCAGGCAGGUCAGGCAGACAGUGGAUACAAGACCUGGGACAAAGCCUGAAACUGAAUAUAGUUAGAAGGGAAGUGUAGCUGACACAGAGAUUUCAUAAUUUUCACCUGUAUUUAAUGUAUUUUGCAUAUCACAUCUGUAUUUUUUUUUUAUUUUGUGGCCUCCUUAGUUUAAUUUUCAUACAUUGAAGUCUCAAGUGUUUCCAAAACAACAGCUAUGGUUUUAAAAGAUCAUUUCACACCCACCCCACUCAAAUUACAACAGACGUGCAAUAUUAAUUUAGGCUGAGUGGGCACAGAUGUUAUCAAAAUCACCCUCUUACCUGCCAACUCCACCAAAUUUUCCAGUGCUUGGAUAUUUUCUUCCACUGAUGUGUAGAAUUUUAUUGUAAUGUUCUCUGUGCCUUUUUUUCCGCUCAGAUGUUUUAUUCAGUUACUAAACCUGCAUGUGGCUUCCUCCUCUAUCAGCUGUCUGAGCUAAAACAAUACUUUGUGACAAUCACUGAACAGAAAAGCAGCUCUGGAGAUACUGAUGUGAUUAGGUGUGAGGCCAAGAACUUGUGCUGAGUGCUAGAAGAGCACUUUAUAACCACAGUAAAUCAGUACAUUUGGGCUAGACAACAUGGCAGAGAAGUGAUGUGAUGUGAAAUAUGAGCUGGGGAAGAAUGUGAAAGAGAGGGAAGUGAAAAGGCAUAUUUAAACUGGAUUUUCAUUUUCCAGUGUUAAGUGUGAGUUAACCAGUCAGCUUUUCUUUGCUGACUCUGAGUUCCCCUCUUUACUUCAAUAUUGUGCUGCUAACACCCAGCUGCACAGCAAAACGUGCAGAUAUGAGCACUCUCUGUGCCUCGGGCCUGUGAAAAGCUAUUGUAACACUGCACUAAUUUGGAUUGAUGCACCCUGGCCCUCAGCAAGGACUAAUAGCUCAGGAUCAGCUUCAUGCUAACAGCUUUUGAGCUGUUUGGAAUGGAGGCAAAAUGACUUUUAUCUUCCCACAAUGUACUUUGUGGAGCUAUCCAUAUUGGGUGGAAUUUGGAAGAAGCAUUAAAAGCUUUUUAAAUUCAUGACUGUGCCAUACACCUACAAAAAGCAAAGUGCAUUGCAAAGGAGGGAAACAUCACUGCCCUUAUUUCAUGAUACACUGUAUUAGGACAAGAAAAAGCAACACAAUGAUCAGGUCUGGGGUGUGGUUCAGGUCUCCAUUGCCUUAUCCACCAGAAAUAUUGUGACUCUAACUGGCAAUAGCAAGAUUGUUCAUAAUCUCCACUAAUAUUCAAUCCCAUAAUUCUUUAUAAUAAAUCCAGUGUUUAUCAGAAAAUGGAUAAAUUACAAAUCCUGCAGUGGACUCCACACAGCCCAAUUUUUAAAUGUACAGAAUCAAAGCAGAAUUAUGUCAAUCUGUUGUGAAAAUGGGAAUAAUUAUAAUUUCUGUAAAUUGGCAAAAGCAAUAACAGUACCCCUAUAAAAAUAUGCAAUGCUUGUCACACAUCAAGUUUCAUCUUUACAUAGAAAGUGAAAGAAAAAGCUCCUAAGUUCCUCUAAUUAUGCUUUUGUUACAAAUUACCUAAUGUUCUAGUUAAUAUAAAGAAGUUGAUUGUAGGCAAUACACAAUGUCCUGUGUUCCUCUGUCUACCUUUGUGCUUAACUUUAUUUUCCAAAGACAUGAUAUAACAUUAAUGACAUAUCCUAGCCUAGAAUUCAA